AAAAUACCAACCAUUUGUUUACUUGCUGCUAAACAGUAGGUUGAAUUUCGGGGCAUUCUAUAACCAUCUUCCGCAGGAGCAUACCCUCUAUUCGUUACAGGUGAAAACGAAUCGGUAGGUGAAUCUCCAGGUCCAUACUCAUCAUCUGAUGAGCCCCAUCUGGAGACAUCACUUGGCCUUUGUCCGCAGGAAUAGUCACUAGGCCUAUGACCAGAUGAAUAAUCACUUGGCCUAUGAAAAGAGGUAUAGUCACUUGGUCUGCGAGAAGAUGAAAAGUCACUUGGCUUCCGCUCCCUAUUAGGAUCAAAA
rnacentral:misc_RNA from 1 species